CUGCUGACGAGUCCCAAACAGGACGAAACAGUUGUUGUUCAG
rnacentral:hammerhead_ribozyme from 1 species